ACGCAUUGUAGGCCUUUUCGUAUGCAUGAUUCGCUGGGCACCACACGUGUAUCGGCUGGCUGAUGUUUGGGAUUGGACGUCAGAAUGGUCUGGAAUUACCAGAAUCGCAUGAUAUUGCGAUUUCCAGAGGGGGUCAUUCAGGUUAUACUUGAGUGCCCCCUGGAAUCAUUGACUGGGUGGCCCUGAUUUACAUGCUGGCAGCAAGAAUAAUGGAGACAGUGAUGAUGGUCCAGAAUGUCUUGGAUUUACACAAUGAAGACACAAAAGUGUUUUGAGAUGCCUCAUGUGUCUUGUUUCUUCAGGGUUUUGUCAUCUUUCACUGCAUAGAAGUGCCACACGGAAAGACUUGCCAUGCUGCUCAGUAAUCUCCUUGGCAACCAGAUGGGAUUACUGGACAGUGGAUUCUAACACUUGUGAGGUGGACGUUAACAGUUCUGGGUCUGCUGAUUCAAGAAGAUCUGUUUUAGAAUAUGAAUUCAUUGUAUGAGUUUUAAAGUCAUCUUUUGCUGCAAAGAAGUGCGCAUGGAAAGAUGUGCACUGCUGUCCCAUCAACUCUUUGGCAAGGAGAUGUAGUCCAGUGGGCACUGGAUUCCAACACUUGUGAGAAUUUUGGGUUGUGAAUCCAAUCCAUCCAUGUGGCAGUUUUGUCCUCACAAAACCCCCAGGAAAUGAUGACUGCUCUGAAGGAGCUCAUUACUACUUACUGGGUCCAAUGAGGACUUGAUGUGCUACAUUGGCCUUGAGCAUCAGAUGAUGGGGCCAGGAUUUCCUUCAUCUACAGUGUGAGGAUACAAAAGUGAUUUGAGGGUUUUGUCAUCUUUCGCUGCAUAGAAGGAACACACGGAAAGACUUGUCAUGCUGCUCUUGGCAACCAGACGGGAUUACUGGACAUUGGAUUCUAACACUUGAGGUUUGCCAUGCCAUUGAUGACCACGCCUUCCAAAACAUCAAGACCACUGCUAAAUAGUCAUUGUUGUUUGUCAACAAGGCCAUUCACAGUAGCACCUUUCCCUAUAUGAAGUUGGUGCAUUGAAAUGAAAGGCAGAUUUUCAAAGCAAACACGGGACCAGGCUUACUGGUUUUGAUAUGGUGUUUAUAGGUUCACAUACUUGAAACAAAGACUGGCCAUGUUUUCAUUGAAAUUAAAUAAAGGCUGAAUGAAGA